GAUAAACGCUGGCGGCGUGCCUUAAGCAUGCAAGUCGAACGAGCCCGCAAGGGCUAGUGGCGGACGGGUGAGUAACACGUAAGUGACCUGCCCGAGAGUGGGGAAUAACUCAUCGAAAGGUGAGCUAAUACCGCAUACGUUCAGCAAUCCAUUUUGUUGAAUAAAGCCGUAAGGCGCUUUCGGAGGGCUUGCGCCGAUUAGCUUGUUGGUGGGGUAAUGGCCUACCAAGGCGACGANCGGUAGCUGGUCUGAGAGGAUGGUCAGCCACACUGGGACUGAGAACGGCCCAGACCUCCUACGGGAGGCAGCAGCUAGGAAUUUUGCGCAAUGGGCGAAAGCCUGACGCAGCAGCGCCGCGUGGGGA
rnacentral:rRNA from 1 species